rnacentral:rRNA from 1 species
UAUUGCGCAAUGAGCGAAAGCUAGACUGCAGCAACGCCGCGUGGGUGAUGAAGGCCUUCGGGUCGUAAAACCCUUAUCUGGGGGAAGAGUAAGGACGGUACCCCAGGAAUAAUCCUCGGCUAACUAUGUGCCAGCAUGCGCGGUAAUACAUAGGAGGCAAGCGUAAUCCGGAUUAACUGGGCGUACAGAGCGUUGAGGCGGCUUCGUAAGUUGGACGUGAAAGCUCCCGGCUUAACUGGGAGAGGCCGUUCAAUACUGCGGGGCUUGAGGGCAGCAGAGGGGGGUGGAAUUUCCGGUGUAGUGGUGAAAUGCGUAGAUAUCGGAAGGAACAUCAGUGGCGAAGGCGGCCCCAUGGCUUGCUCCUGACGCUGAAGGCGAAAGCUAGGGGAGCGAACAGGGAUUAGAACACCCGGGUAGUCCUUAGCCGUAAACGAUGGAUACUAGGUGUAGGAGGUUAAAAUUCAUUCUGUGCCGGAGCUAACGCGUUAAGUAUCCCGCCUGGGGAGUACGGUCGCAAGGCUAAAACUCAAAGGAAUUGACGGGGGCCCGCACAAGCAGCGGAGCGUGUGGUUUAAUUCGAUGCAACACGAAGAACCUUACCAGGGCUUGACAUGUAGGUAGUAGUGAAGCGAAACCGGAACGAUCCUUCGGGAAGCCUACACAGGUGCUGCAUGGCUGUCGUCAGCUCGUGCCGUGAGGUGUUAGGUUAAGUCCUGUAACGAGCGCAACCCCUGCCGUUAGUUACAAGUGUGUUACGGGACUGCCCGGCAAAACUGGGAGGAAGGUGGGGAUGACGUCAAGUCAGCAUGGC